UACGUAGGGGGCAAGCGUUGUCCGGAUUUAUUGGGCGUAAAGAGCGUGUAGGCGGCCAGAUAGGUCAGCUGUGAAAACUCGAGGCUCAACCUCGAGAUGUCGGCUGAAACCAUCUGGCUAGAGUCCGGAAGAGGAGAAUGGAAUUCCCGGUGUAGCGGUGAAAUGCGCAGAUAUCGGGAAGAACACCCGUGGCGAAGGCGGCUACCUGGACCAGCACUGACACUGAGGCACGAAAGCGUGGGGAGCAAACAGG
rnacentral:rRNA from 1 species